rnacentral:rRNA from 1 species
AGUGAACGCUGGCGGUAGGCCUAACACAUGCAAGUCGAACGGCAGCACAGUAAGAGCUUGCUCUUACGGGUGGCGAGUGGCGGACGGGUGAGGAAUACAUCGGAAUCUACUUUUUCGUGGGGGAUAACGUAGGGAAACUUACGCUAAUACCGCAUACGACCUACGGGUGAAAGCAGGGGAUCUUCGGACCUUGCGCGAUUGAAUGAGCCGAUGUCGGAUUAGCUAGUUGGCGGGGUAAAGGCCCACCAAGGCGACGAUCCGUAGCUGGUCUGAGAGGAUGAUCAGCCACACUGGAACUGAGACACGGUCCAGACUCCUACGGGAGGCAGCAGUGGGGAAUUUUGGACAAGGGGCGCAAGCCUGAUCCAGCCAUACCGCGUGGGUGAAGAAGGCCUUCGGGUUGUAAAGCCCUUUUGUUGGGAAAGAAAAGCAGCAGGUUAAUACCCCGCUGUUCUGACGGUACCCAAAGAAUAAGCACCGGCUAACUUCGUG